UCCUGACUAGCUCAGUCGGCAGAGCAUGAGAUUCUUAAUUUCAGGGUUGUGGGUUCGAGCCCCACGCUGGGCA